rnacentral:lncRNA from 11 species
GGAAAAUGAGAGGUGAAGGUUUUCAUUUGUCUUCCUGCUGACUCUAAUAAGUCACAGUCACCAGCUUCAGUUAACUUGCACUCUGAAACCUGGAUCAUAUGGUGAAAAUAGAUGGAGAGAUGGGGAACAACGAAGGAAACACAAAGAACUUACCUUUUCAGAAAUGGAUCCCCAAAUGUUUUAUAGCAGAGCCAACCAUGAGGAAUUUGCUUCUGCUCUAAACUACAGCUGUGAAGAAAAAUGACAAGAGAAGAAGCCAAGACCACAUUCCACUUAUUACAAAUUUUAUUAAUAUAGAAUAAAUGAAAUCCAAUAAUGA